AAGAUUCGAUUCAUUGAGAUGACUCGCUUCACGUCGCCGAUUCGAAUGCACGUCAGUCAACUGUCACCAACCGUCUUCUGAAGAAAUCAUUUUGAUCGCCGGUCGGACAGCAAACUACCUGUUGGCAGGUUGACAUAAGAAAAUGGGCAAAACAUGGGUCCUAGUGGAAUGAAGGGAGGAGCCACCGACCU